UUCACAACUUUAGGGCCAAUGUAAUAUAUGGCCAAGCGCAAAUUUGAGCAGGAUGCCCUCAUUCCAACAAAUACUUGCUUAAAUCCAUUAUCAAGUCAAGACAAGAGAAGAUCCAUUGAAUCAAUGAAAUUGAUGUUAUUAACUUGUAACUUGCAAUCAACUUCCAGGUCAUUGUAGGGUCAUGCCAAUAAAUGUCUGAUUUAAGAAUCAGGUGAGGAACCGAGGAAUCAGACCUAGAACAAAAAUAUUAAGGCCAAGGCUAUCAAGUGAACUAGUGGCAGAGGGACGAAUCUACCUGCUGGAUAGCUCAGUGGUUUAGGCAUCUAGAUGGGUGUUCAAACACCCACUGGGCAUCUUUGACAGGGGCUGGACUAGAUGAUCCAUAGGUUCCUUUCCAGCUCUGCAGCCCUAAAAUUAUUAUUAUUACCUCUGGGGAAAAGAGCACUCCUUUCUCUAUCAUUGACUUCUGUUUCUGCUUCUAUAAUUUACAUAUUCAGAACCACCCACCCCAGGCUGUGCCACUUCAGACUGGAUGAAAGAGAAUACCAUCCACCCCCAUCAAACAAACUCUCUUCUCAUGGAAUUCACUGGGAGAGAGUGAGGUUUUGUACAAGUUCAGAAGAACCGGGACAGGUGGGAGAGAUUUAUUUCCUUAGUUACGGGGCGGGUUCUCAGGGACACCUUUGAGGGUGUGGGUCUGUCAUGUGAACACAGGAAAAUCUGAGGUGUUUUUGAUCUUCAGAAGGCAGGAAGGCAAAAACUGAACUGCAGGCUGCGGUCUGUGUUUAUGCAACUCUCCGAUGAAGGAGACCGACUGAGUGACAUUCUUCAUGUCUGUUACGCAGGAGAAAGACAUGCAGUUCCUGGGGGCUGUUUUAUUUCUGGCCAUCUUUGAAGGCAUUUGGGGCCAAGAAACAGUCACUCAGAAGGACCGCUUUGCUAACACCACGGAGGGGGAACCGGUCCACCUCAACUGCUCCUACCAGGGAACUCCAAAUAGUGUUCAGUGGUACCAGCAAAACCCGGAUGGCCAGAUCGUUCAUAUUGCUAUAUUAUUCCAAACCAAAACGGAGUCUUUUGGCCGAUUUGAUAUGAACCUGAAUAAACAGGAGAAAACGACCUGGUUACGUUUGAAGAAUCCCCGGCUUGAAGACUCCGGUGUCUAUUUCUGUGCGAUGAGUCACAGUGUUGCCGUGAGGCACGCAGGCUGUCCCAAAACCUGGGGUGGACCCUUCAAGUUCAGACAAGGCCCUUAGUGGUGCAUUCAAUUAAUUCUAGACAGUGACCCAGGGAAAGUUCACUCCCAAAUUAUCCUGAGAAAUAGAUGAUACUGGGAAAGAAUGAGCAAUGGAGGAACAAUUUAUGAUUUCCAUGAGUAAAUCAAAAUUUGAGCCUGGCCAUAUAAACCAUCUUCAACACUCUUAACCAUAGUCAGAUUUAUUCAUGAAUUCAGUGUACGUUCCAUCUUUCAGGCACCCCCCUGAACACAGCCACUCCACGAAUAAACAAGACAGUCUGUCUACA
rnacentral:lncRNA from 1 species